rnacentral:tRNA from 1 species
GCCGCCGUGACGAAAUCGGCAUACGUAGCAGACUUAAAAUCUGCCGGAGGUAACUCCUUACGGGUUCAAGUCCCGUCGGCGGCACCA